UGGCUUAAUGGUUACGGCUUCUGCCUCACAAGCAGAAGGUUCAGGGAUCAAAUCCCGG
rnacentral:tRNA from 1 species